CCCUCACAUUAGGACAAAGACUGGGGAAAUGUGGCUGCUUCCCAACAGGAUAACCCUCCAGGACACUGCUGACACACCAUGGGCACAGGCUGAGCUGCAGACCAUGUCUGCUACUACUGUCUUUCUUCCCAGCCCAAGGAGAAGGACCAACAGGAGAAUCAGAGAAACACCCAGCCAUUUCCUGCUUCUCUUUUCUGCUCCUGUAGCCACACAGCUGAAGCCACAAAAUGAGCAAGCAAUAAACAAACAAGAAAUAGGCCAAGUAGCUGAAUCUCCACCCUGACAGCGUGAAGGUAUAUGAUUAUCUUUUCCCAAUUUGAAGAGAAUAAUCUCCCACCCAGCUCUUAGAGAAAAGAGAAACUCCUUCUGUAGCCACAGCUGUAGACUUGAGUGUUGCCUAAAAUUUGAAUACAAUCAACAACCUUUGUCCUAGCCCCUAGCAACCCAAAACUCUGUUAACACUGCCUUGGUUACAAAUCACUUCAGAAACCCUGGUUUUCAGGGAGUAUUUUGGUAAGAGCUUGUGACUGAAUGCCAAUGAUACAAGAUUAUUUUUUAACUUAGAUUUAAAGCAAGUUCAUCACAAUAAACCAUAUGCUUGAGUCAAGGUC